rnacentral:lncRNA from 1 species
AAGAAGUCCUACCACUGAAAGGAUGUGCGGGUAGAAAUGAGCAAUUGCAACUAGAAGAGCCUGUGUGCCCACAAUCAGGGGUGAGGAGGAGUGUCAUGGAGCAGCUCUCUACUGCCCUGAGAAUGACAUCCCCACUGUUCACCAUGGCCUUAAAUCCCCUGCAAAUUCCACCUCAUCCUCUGCCACUUCCCAUCACUGCUCUGAAGAUGCCCUGAUCUUGUUUCAGUCCCUUGGACAUACCCAGCUCUUCUCUAUCUUUGCAUGUGUCAUACCCUUCCUGCUGCUCAUCCCAGAACUGACUCUUCAUGUAUUUACUCUUAUUUUGAGAGAAGGGGGCAUUUCCACCACCAGAAGGGAACUUGCUAUCUUGGUAGCCAUUGUCCCCUGACACCUGGCACAUCUACUAUACAGAGUCACCAUUCAAGUGGAUGUUGAAUGAGUACACUUGUUUCACAGUUUGGUUGGGCAAGCCCCAAAGCUUGGUUCCCGGUAGGAUCAGGCUUUAUGAGUGGGCUGAGUUUCUAUAAAAGUCUCCCUACCAGUUUCCAAUCUUGGUGAAACUA